GGUGGCUCAGUGGUAGAGUGCAUGCCUUGCAUACAUGAGGUCCUGAGUUUGAUUCCUCAGCACCA
rnacentral:tRNA from 1 species